rnacentral:rRNA from 1 species
GAUGAACGCUGGCGGCGUGCCUAAUACAUGCAAGUCGAGCGAACGGACGAGAAGCUUGCUUCUCUGAUGUUAGCGGUGGACGGGUGAGUAACACGUGGAUAACCUACCUAUAAGACUGGGAUAACUUCGGGAAACCGGAGCUAAUACCGGAUAAUGCAGCGGCUCGCCAUCGAGACAGUUGUUAAAGCUAUGGCGCCUGAAGAUGAGCCUGCGUCUGAUUAGCUAGUUGGCGGGGUAACGGCCCACCAAGGCAACGAUCAGUAGCUGGUCUGAGAGGAUGAUCAGCCACACUGGAACUGAGACACGGCCCAGACUCCUACGGGAGGCAGCAGUAAGGAAUAUUGCUCAAUGGGAGAAAUCCUGAAGCAGCAACGCCGCGUGAGGGACGAAGGGCUUUUGCUUGUAAACCUCUGUAGGGAGAGAAAAAAAUCCCAAUCUUUGGGACAUGAUGGUAUCUCAAAAGUAAGCCCCGGCUAACUACGUG